UCAUCAAAGCUUGCUUUGAUGGAUGGCGACCGGCGCACGGGUGAGUAACACGUAUCCAACCUGCCGACAACACUGGGAUAGCCUUUCGAAAGGAAGAUUAAUACAAGAUGGCAUCAUGAGUCCACAUGUUCACAUGAUUAAAGGUAUUCCGGUAGACGAUGGGGAUGCGUUCCAUUAGGUUGUUGGCGGGGUAACGGCCCACCAAGCCUUCGAUGGAUAGGGGUUCUGAGAGGAAGGUCCCCACAUUGGAACUGAGACACGGUCCAAACUCC
rnacentral:rRNA from 1 species